rnacentral:rRNA from 1 species
UGGGGAAUAUUGCACAAUGGGCGAAAGCCUGAUGCAGCAACGCCGCGUGAGUGAUGAAGGCCUUCGGGUUGUAAAGCUCUGUCUUUUGGGACGAUAAUGACGGUACCAAAGGAGGAAGCCACGGCUAACUACGUGCCAGCAGCCGCGGUAAUACGUAGGUGGCAAGCGUUGUCCGGAUUUACUGGGCGUAAAGGAUGCGUAGGCGGAUUUUUAAGUGAGAUGUGAAAACCCUAAGCUUAACUUGGGGACUGCAUUUCAUACUGGAAAUCUAGAGUGCGGGAGAGGAGAAUGGAAUUCCUAGUGUAGCGGUGAAAUGCGUAGAGAUUAGGAAGAACACCAGUGGCGAAGGCGAUUCUCUGGACCGUAACUGACGCUGAGGCAUGAAAGCGUGGGUAGCAAACAGGAUUAGAUACCCUGGUAGUCCACGCCGUAAACGAUGAGUACUAGGUGUAGGAGGUAUCGACCCCUUCUGUGCCGCAGUUAACACAAUAAGUACUCCGCCUGGGAAGUACGAUCGCAAGAUUAAAAACUUAAAUGAAAUUGACGGGGGUCAUAGCUGUUUCCU